rnacentral:lncRNA from 1 species
UGCGCAACUUCUGUUACAAAACUGACCUGGGCGUCUGCAAUGGUCGUGCGACCUGAUGCACGACCGUGCAUAUCCGACAAACUAAGAAAGGCCCGGCAGUGAACGAUGGUGCAACUCCGCGUGCAAGGCAUUGAAGGCCAACCCGGGAACGCACGGUCGUUCCAUAUGAUGCACCCCGUGCGGAUCCGACAAUCCAACAAGACCUCGGAACUGAACGACCAAAGGACCAGGCGUGCAACAACAACCCGGUGAUGAACGACCGCGCCACAUGGAGAACGGUCGUGCAAUAUCGAAUCUGGUCAACGAUCUGCUGAUGUCACGCAGCAUGGUGGACCACCACCAAUAAUUGCUUAAAGUGCACGGUCGUGCCACAGGGAGAACGACCGUGCGACAGCGAAAAAGCAUAAAAACAGAACAGAACCAUUCUAUUAGUAACUCUGGAAUUUUGGAGAGCUUUGCAGGCGAUGUACAGGCUCCGAAGGCUUCUGCUUUCACUCGGAUUCAAGCCACAUUGCCCGGUUUUGCUCGUUUACUAUCCGGAUUCUUAAUCUUGUGCUUGUUUAUGGUUAAUGUUUAUGUAUUAUUGUAGCCUUUGGGCAAAAACACAACAAUCCCUUGCUUGAUUAUAACCAUUAGUAUGUUAAUCUAUAUUUGUAAUGAAAUUUGGAAGUGUUUUCUAU